GGGGAUGUGGCUCAGGGUAGAGCUCUCGCCUAGCACGUGAGAGGCCCUGGGUUUGAAUCUCAGCACCA
rnacentral:tRNA from 1 species